GCAACGGUGGUUCAGUGGUGGAAUUCUAGCCUUCCAUGCAGGAGACCCAGGUUCAAUUCCCUGCCAAGGCA
rnacentral:tRNA from 1 species